rnacentral:tRNA from 1 species
UGGAUAAAAGCUUUGUAUAGAGCGUUCGGUUGUUAACUGAAAGGAGUAAAUGAUUACUUAUUCGG